CCUACGGGGGGCAGCAGUGGGGAAUAUUGCACAAUGGGGGAAACCCUGAUGCAGCGACGCCGCGUGAGUGAAGAAGUAUCUCGGUACGUAAAGCUCUAUCAGCAGGGAAGAAAAAAAUGACAGUACCUGACUAAGAAGCCCCGGCUAACCACGUGCCAGCAGCCGCGGUAAUACGUAGGGGGCAAGCGUUAUCCGGAUUUACUGGGUGUAAAGGGAGCGUAGGCGGCCAUGCAAGUCAGCAGUGAAAACCCGGGGCUCAACCCUGGGAGUGCUUUUGAAACUGAGCGGCUAGAGUGUCGGAGGGG
rnacentral:rRNA from 1 species